UAAGGAAGAAGAAUCACACUCCUUUAAUCUGAAAUACACUUCGUAACUCUAAACAUACAUCCUAAAAACUGCUUCUACGGUUUUCUCAUUUUUUUUGCUUCAUCAUACAAAACAAGUGUGCACAAAUUGAAAUUACCCUCAGGAUGAAAUGCACUGCAAGUAUACACAUAGUGAGUGAUUUAACAUAUAUCUUCUCAUUUAUCUUCAUCGUUGUGGAAAUCCAACGAUUUGGAUUUCCAAAUCUAACCCUUUUUAAAGAGCUUGGCGUGCCCAGCUAGAGCAUAUAGGGUGUAAGCUUAAUCCCCAUGCUCUUCGGUUGUACGGUCUACAGUUACAAGCUUUCGGGCUGAAUGCCUCUUAAAGAAGAUGGAUGCUUCUUCACCGUUUUCAUGACUGCUAAGUCCGUAGACGUUACAACUAGAGUAUCGGUAUUAAACGAAACAGUACUUUGGACUGCAGGACAGUGCAGGUACCAGAGUAGAUCGUCCACUGUGACAUACAGGUGUAUGGUACAUACAUUAUAAUACUAGCAUCCAUGUUUAAAAAUGUUUUGUCCUAUCUUUUCCUAUAUCGGUGCUCGGAGCGAAGUUUCACGUUUCAGUUUACAAGAUAUAGGUUUGCACACACAAACUCAGGGUUUACAGUUUCACCCGGUGUACUUGAAAGGAAAAAAAAUGCCUAGAAAACAAAGUGCCCAGGGUUUCAACAUGUAUUUGUUGGAGGAAAAUUUUGCAGGGUUUUUUUUAACUGCCUGUGGAGACGAAAGCAAUGAAAUGAGGCAAUACCAACAGCUAUUUAUUUUCUCAGGGGAGAUUUCUUCAGUGGAAUGUGUCAAUUCUAAUGUCAAACAGUGUUUGCUUAAUUUUGUGUUACUAAAGAGACUCCGCGUUUGCAUCAAGGGGUCAGUUUUGCAAGCAGCUGAGCUUCGCAGACCCAGUCCAGCAAAGCCUUCAUAUGCAUCUUUAACAUCAAAUAUCUAAGCGGAUUCCUGGGGACUUCAGCGGAAGCGCAGUCUCUUUUUUUCUUUUUUUUUUUACCCAUCAACACAACGCUUUGCUGAACUUGGCCCAGAGCGCUGAGUGCCUUGCAGACCCGAGUCUCAGGUUCUUCACUUUAUAUGUAUAAAACCGGAGCUCUGGGCUUGAGUCUAGCCAGACGCAGCAGAUAGCGCCAUGAAAGGUCACCAGAAAAAAAUCCGGUAGUAUGGUGCUCCUCCACGUAUACCCAGUGGUGAACUUCUCCAGCUGAUGGGGUGGUGUGUAACCACAUAUCUUGGAUUAGAGUCAAGCCCUCCGUGUCAGGGUUCACAAGCUGCUAGUAUUAUAUGUUUCACGGUGCAGUCAUAGUACGUUACAGCUGAAAUUCACCCCGUGUGCAAAGCAGGGCAAAAUCCUGUGCACCACUCGAGUUCCCCCCAGCCCUGCCGUCGGGGUUCGGGGUCUGCAACAGCCGGCCAGCCACUUCCACGCGUUUUAGGUCAGGAUCCAAUUAAAAGUUUGAGCGGGACUGGAGUGAUGCACGAAUUUUGUUCUGGUCUUUUGCAGCAGGGUUGGUUUCACUCAGUUAAAUUUAAUCCUUGGUGAAUCACUUGAUGAAUGAUUUAAAAUGUAUUUAUGGGUUGUGUGGGUUUUGUUUUGUUUUUUUUUCUUGUCCUUAUUCAAAGCUGCCUUUACUCUCUAGUGUUGAUGGCCAAAGUGUCAUUCCUUAUGCUUACAAAUUACCAUUAACUUGUGGCUACCUGAGAACACAUACACUACUUUAAAAAUGCUUGUGGUUUUUUUUCCCCUUUUUCUGUUUUUUUUCCUUCUUUGUUUUGCUCUUUUCUUUUUCCCCCCUUUUUUAAGGGGGUGGGUUAUCAGUGUAAAGAUAUUUAAAAGUGCAAGUGUGAAGUAAGGAUAAUGAUUGUUAAGAGGAUGUGGGUGAUAUGUCUGAUGACAGAGCGGUGGGCUAUAAGGCAAAGGGGAAAAUGCCGUGAACGCAUUGUGUUGAUGAUUGUUGCCUGUGGGGGGAAAAAAUAAAAAAAAGAAGAUAUGUAACUGGAGAAAAAUGGACUCUCUGAGCUGCUCUCAACGUAGACGACACUGUGGCAAGUGCGUAGCCGAAGCCCGAAGUGGUCCCGCUGCAGGAUGCCGUGAGCCUGGGAUUGAAGGACAGCAGAGUCGCUCUGAGAAUUGCACUAGCAGCGUGUUGCACGUCGGGAACGCUCCAGUACGUCACGACCACGUGAGAACGGACUGUCUGAAACCGCUGAGUACCAAAGUUUGUAACUGAAUGAGUUAGCAUUUGUAUUAUGUUGGGGGUUUUUUUUUGAAUGUUAUGAUAAAUAAAAUGUAUUUUUCAGUAAAAGACACACUGCAAG